GUGGCGGUGUAGUCCCAUCUCGCGUCGGCGUCCAGCAGCGCGUUCUCGCCGAAGUGGUCACCGUCGGCGAGAACGGCGACGGCCACCUCGUCGCCGUACUUGCCCACGGAGGUCUGGUUGAUCCGGCCGUGUGCGAUGAGGUGGAUCUGCUCGGCGGGCGCACCGCGCUCGACCAGCGUCUCGCCGGCGCGGAAGUCGCGCUGGACGCAGCGGUCGGCGAUCGCGGUGAGCACCUCGACGUCGUCGAAGCCGCUCAGCAGGGCCAGUUCGCCGAGUUCGCGUGGGAUCACCCGGACGCCGGCACCGUCCUGGAUGAACUCCACGCGUCCGUCGCCGACGGUGUAGGUCAGCCGGCGGUUCACCCGGUAGGCGCCGCCCUUGGUCUCGACCCAGGGCAGUGUCCGCAGCAGCCACCGGGAGGUGAUCUCCUGCAUCUGCGGGGCGGACUUGGUGGUGGUGGCGAGAUUCCGGGCAGCCGCGGUGCCCAGGCUGGACUGCGGUGGUGACUCCGG
rnacentral:antisense_RNA from 1 species